rnacentral:rRNA from 1 species
AGAGUUUGAUCAUGGCUCAGAAUCAACGCUGGCGGCGCGCCUAACACAUGCAAGUCGAACGAGAAAGCCGCAAGGCAAGUAAAGUGGCGUACGGGUGAGUAACACGUGGAUGAUCUGCCUUUUAGUGGGGAAUACCGUUGGGAAACCGACGACAAUACCGCAUAAGCCCGAGAGGGGAAAGCAGCAAUGCGCUGAAAGAGGAGUCCGCGGUCGAUUAGUUAGUUGGCAGGGUAAGAGCCUACCAAGACAGUGAUCGAUAGCCGGCCUGAGAGGGCACACGGCCACACUGGCACUGAAACACGGGCCAGACUCCUACGGGAGGCAGCAGUGGGGAAUCUUGCACAAUGGGGGAAACCCUGAUGCAGCGACGCCGCGUGAGCGAUGAAGCCCUUCGGGGUGUAAAGCUCUUUCGUCAGGGAAGAUAGUGACGGUACCUGGAGAAGCAGCUGCGGCUAACUACGUGCCAGCAGCCGCGGUAAUACGUAGGCAGCAAGCGUUGUUCGGAGUUACUGGGCGUAAAGGGUGCGUAGGCGGCUGUUUAAGUUUGGUGUGAAAUCUCCCGGCUCAACCGGGAGGGUGCGCCGAAUACUGAGCGGCUAGAGUGCGGGAGAGGAAAGUGGAAUUCCUGGUGUAGCGGUGAAAUGCGUAGAUAUCAGGAGGAACACCGGUGGUGUAAACGGCUUUCUGGACCGUAACUGACGCUGAUGCACGAAAGCGUGGGUAGCAAACAGGAUUAGAUACCCUAGUAGUCC